CGCUGGCGGCGUGCUUAACACAUGCAAGUCGAGCGGUAAGGCCCCUUCGGGGGUACACGAGCGGCGAACGGGUGAGUAACACGUGAGUAACCUGCCCCAUUCUUCGGAAUAACCAGUGGAAACGCUGGCUAAUGCCGAAUAUGACCAUCGAAGGCAUCUUCUGGUGGUGGAAAGCUCCGGCGGAGUGGGAUGGACUCGCGGCCUAUCAGCUUGUUGGUGAGGUAACGGCUCACCAAGGCGACGACGGGUAGCCGGCCUGAGAGGGUGACCGGCCACACUGGGACUGAGACACGGCCCAGACUCCUACGGGAGGCAGCAGUGGGGAAUAUUGGACAAUGGGCGAAAGCCUGAUCCAGCAACGCCGCGUGAGGGAUGACGGCCUUCGGGUUGUAAACCUCUUUCAGCAGGGACGAAGCGAAAGUGACGGUACCUGCAGAAGAAGGACCGGCCAACUACGUGCCAGCAGCCGCGGUAAUACGUAGGGUCCGAGCGUUGUCCGGAAUUAUUGGGCGUAAAGGGCUCGUAGGCGGUUUGUCGCGUCGGGAGUGAAAACUCAGGGCUCAACCCUGAGCGUGCUUACGAUACGGGCAAACUAGAGGUAUGCAGGGGAGAACGGAAUUCCUGGUGUAGCGGUGGAAUGCGCAGAUAUCAGGAGGAACACCGGUGGCGAAGGCGGUUCUCUGGGCAUUACCUGACGCUGAGGAGCGAAAGCAUGGGGAGCGAACAGGAUUAGAUACCCUGGUAGUCCAUGCCGUAAACGUUGGGCGCUAGGUGUGGGGACCUUCCACGGUCUCCGUGCCGCAGCUAACGCAUUAAGCGCCCCGCCUGGGGAGUACGGCCGCAAGGCUAAAACUCAAAGGAAUUGACGGGGGCCCGCACAAGCGGCGGAGCAUGCUGAUUAAUUCGAUGCAACGCGAAGAACCUUACCUGGGUUUGACAUAUGCCGGAAACGCCUAGAGA
rnacentral:rRNA from 1 species